GUGGGGCAGAUGAUUGGGGUGAAGUCGUAACAAGGUAGCCGUAUCGGAAGGUGCGGCUGGAUCACCUCCUUUCUAAGGA
rnacentral:rRNA from 1 species